UACGUAGGUGGCAAGCGUUGUCCGGAUUUACUGGGCGUAAAGAGCGCGCAGGCGGUCGAUUUAGUCGCGUGUGAAAGCCCCCGGCUCAACUGGGGAGGGUCACGCGAUACUGAUCGACUCGAAGGCAGGAGAGGGUAGUGGAAUUCCCGGUGUAGUGGUGAAAUGCGUAGAUAUCGGGAGGAACACCAGUGGCGAAGGCGACUACCUGGCCUGUUCUUGACGCUGAGGCGCGAAAGCUAGGGUAGCAAACGGG
rnacentral:rRNA from 1 species